AUAAAUAGGGCAGCCUCUGAUGAUGUAGCCUCGUUUUGCAGUGUGCGUGGGAGGUGAGCACAGAAGAGACAAAAGGGCCAGGGGAUGGUGAGAAGGAAUAGCAGAAGGGAGGGACACCUGGGUGCCUUCACCGUGGAUGGCACAGAUCGCAUUUUAUUAAUGCUUUUACGAGUUAGAAGAGUUGGGAUAAUUUGCCAUCUGGAGUUUCUCUGCCUUGCUGAUCUGAGCUCAGACCUGCCAAUUUACCAGAGAUAAUUGAUAACACCCUGUAACAGCUGAGAGGAAAAUGGAAGAAACGGAGAUACUUUUAGUGAAGCAGAAUAAACCACUGAACAGGAAAAAUGAGGAAGCUGUGAGUACCAGUGGAAGGAACGAGCCAGGAAGAGGGACUGGAACCAUCUCAGAAGCCAUGCCCCUCAGGCUGGAACUUGCCCUGUCUCCUCGCAGAUGAGGUAGGAGGCUCAGCACGGGCUGGUGGGAGCAGCCCACAGCAGCAGUGAGGGUCAGUGGGCCUGUGAGUUAAGAAGAAGGUGGCACAGAGCGAGGGUCUCUGGAUCCUGACUGUUUGACUUUUCCAUGAUUAGGAUAAGUAGCCAGGGCUUGGCUAGUUGGAGAGUUACUCGAACCUCAGGUGACAGUUGUAAGGCAGCACAUAGUGAAAAAGAGUCCUAGCCUGGGAAAGUCCAAAACCUUAGGUCUGGUUUCAGUUCACUCACCUAUCUCUGUGACAUAGCAAAGUCUGUUAAUUUCUCUAAUUUUCUGAUUAGUAGUAUAGUUGCAGGAAUGAAAUAAAAAUGGUCCUGAUUACUCAGAGAUUCAUUUACUGAUUACUCUUUUUGUGACCUGAAUAAAGAGUACAACAUCUCUCAAAAGGUAACAAUAUGAUGUUUCAGGAAAUUAGAGAAGUUAAGAGACUUUGCUGUAUUUACUAUACAGAUAGUUGACUGACAGCUGAGCCCGGACCCAAGAUUCAUUUAUAAAAUGAAGGAGUUGAGAAGUACAUACUCUGAGGUUUAUCCUAAAUAAACUGAAGUCUAGGCAAGUGGCUGAGCUAGGUUUGCCAUGAAUCAAUCUGCUGAGUAUAUUUCUUGGUAACUAGUUCAUCUUUCCUUAAUUCAGUCAACAAAUAUGAUAUCAAGUUUAGUAAGAUGAUGACAGUUGUCAUGUAAUACUCCAUCUGGAAGAUUGUAUGCUUCUCAGCUUCCCUAACUUUUCUUAAUCUACCUUAAGCUUCCUUUCUGAAAGGUUUCUGUCUUUCCUAACAGUCUCUUCUUUCCGCCAGCUACCUCUUGUGUUUAAGAAUUAAAGGAAGAUGAGCUAGGAAUCAAGAAAUACGCAGAACUGAUUCCUGUCACUGGCGCCACCCUGCCACUUGCCCAGAGCUGUGGUAUAAAUUUUUUUAAUAGGCUGAAAUAAAAAUAUGAAUAGCAUUUUGGUAUUAAGCAUUAAAUUGAUAAAGGCUAUGAGAUACACCUGCUCUCAACCAUGUUAAUUUUUUAUUAUUGGUAUUAAUAAAUUAUUACUUACUAACAUAUUAACAAGAAUUGCAUUGAGAAACAAAGCAUCCACAGGCCAAAUCUUCUGAAUUUCAAAUGUUUAUAUUAAUGCGUUGUAUUCUAGAAAAGUAGAAUUGUCUUAAGUAGCUUUGUAAUAUAAAGUCAUCUAUCAGCCCAUUACACCUAUUAGAAUGUUUUAACCUUUAUUUCCCACUUUUUUGUUUCUAGACUGAGUGUACUUGGUCUGGUAUUUGUGGCAUAACUUACGGAACACAUAAGAAUGAUACAGAUACUAUUUAAUGAUGACCUAAUACAAGCUUAGAUAGCUAAGGUGAAAGCUUCUAUGGCCUUAACAUUUUCCUCUUGAAGAAUGUAUUUUCUGUAAUAAAAUACAGUGGCUACUUGAAAUCUAUAAACUUAUGUGAGGUCUGGAUAAAUCUGAGCAACUUUCUUCUUUGUGCUCCAGGAACCUACGCACUAUAUAUAUAAAUAAAGCUUAAGUAAACA
ensembl:lncRNA LINC-PINT long intergenic non-protein coding RNA, p53 induced transcript